rnacentral:rRNA from 1 species
GAGUUUGAUCCUGGCUCAGGACGAACGCUGGCGGCGUGCUUAACACAUGCAAGUCGAACGGAAAGGCCCCGCUCGCGGGGUACUCGAGUGGCGAACGGGUGAGUAACACGUGGGUGAUCUGCCCUGCACUUCGGGAUAAGCCUGGGAAACUGGGUCUAAUACCGGAUAUGACCUCCCUUUAGUGUGGGGGGUGGAAAGAUUUAUCGGUGCAGGAUGAGCCCGCGGCCUAUCAGCUUGUUGGUGGGGUAAUGGCCUACCAAGGCGUCGACGGGUAGCCGGCCUGAGAGGGUGGACGGCCACAUUGGGACUGAGAUACGGCCCAGACUCCUACGGGAGGCAGCAGUGGGGAAUAUUGCACAAUGGGCGGAAGCCUGAUGCAGCGACGCCGCGUGGGGGAUGACGGCCUUCGGGUUGUAAACCUCUUUCGACAGGGACGAAGUGAAAAUGACGGUACCUGUAUAAGAAGCACCGGCUAACUACGUGCCAGCGGCCGCGGUAAUACGUAGGGUGCGAGCGUUGUCCGGAAUUACUGGGCGUAAAGAGCUCGUAGGUGGUUUGUCACGUCGUCUGUGAAAUUCCGGGGCUUAACCUCGGGCGUGCAGGCGAUACGGGCAAUACUUGAGUGCUGUAGGGGAGACUGGAAUUCCUGGUGUAGCGGUGAAUGCGCAGAUAUCAGGAGGAACACCAAUGGCGAAGGCAGGUCUCUGGGCAGUUACUGACGCUGAGGAGCGAAAGCAUGGGUAGCGAACAGGAUUAGAUACCCUGGUAGUCCAUGCCGUAAACGGUGGGCGCUAGGUGUAGGGGACUUCCACGUUCUCUGUGCCGUAGCUAACGCAUUAAGCGCCCCGCCUGGGGAGUACGGCCGCAAGGCUAAAACUCAAAGGAAUUGACGGGGGCCCGCACAAGCGGCGGAGCACGUGGAUUAAUUCGAUGCAACGCGAAGAACCUUACCUGGGCUUGACAUACACCGGACCGGCGUAGAGAUACGUCUUCCCUUGUGGCCGGUGUACAGGUGGUGCAUGGUUGUCGUCAGCUCGUGCCGUGAGAUGUUGGGUUAAGUCCCGCAACGAGCGCAACCCUUGUCUUAUGUUGCCAGCACGUGAUGGUGGGGACUCAUGAGAGACUGCCGGGGUCAACUCGGAGGAAGGUGGGGAUGACGUCAAAUCAUCAUGCCCCUUAUGUCCAGGGCUUCACACAUGCUACAAUGGUCGGUACAGCAGGUCGCGAACUCGUGAGAGUAAGCCAAUCCUUCAAAGCCGGCCUCAGUUCGGAUUGGGGUCUGCAACUCGACCCCAUGAAGUCGGAGUCGCUAGUAAUCGCAGAUCAGCAACGCUGCGGUGAAUACGUUCCCGGGCCUGUACACAC